AUUUGGCUCGUUCUUAUCCUACCAGCCUUUCCUAAUGGCCCACCUCGGUUGGGGGCUUCUACUGAGAGUCUCAGCUCACUUUGGUGUCCGAUGAGCUCCCCCUCUCUCCCCUGACAGUUCCACUUGUUUAAUGCUGAUUUGGUGUUGCGAGCAGGACUGAUCCGAAUACCCUUACAAGGAAAAUGCUGUGUGCUAAUGACCUUCAGCUACUCGGAGGUGAGUUAGUGCAAUGGUCUAGAUAGAAGGCAGCCCGUUUCCCCGUAUCAUGGGAUCACCUCUCCCGUCUCUGGUAAAAUGUGUUGUAUAGAUUGCACGUGAUCGUACGUAGGUGGCAGCUCCUCAGUUCUCCAGUCUAGGGCAAGUACGAGACCGAUGCUCUAAGUGCGUGUGUGCGCGCGCAGCAUAUGGUUAUUGACGGAGAUACUGCCGAGCGGAAGCCAGACGCCUUUAUGAAGAUACAGGUGGUGUUUACGUUGACUUGCCGGAGAUGGGGAAAGUUAACCAAGAGAUUUGACUGGGGCUGCCUCAAAUGGCCCCGAUCGGCAACACACGGCUUUCUGACGGCAGGCCGGUGUCAGAUUAUUACUGAAGUCCCCCUUAUCCGCAAUUUCGCUCCCUGUGGUUCCGUUACCCAGGCAACUAUGGUCCUGAAGCAGAAGAUUCUCCUUCGGAGGUAUCUAUCAGCAGAGGGUCAAAGGUAGUCUAAGGCUAGCCAUUCCCCUCCCCCCUUUCAUCAUGUAGGCAUUGUAUCAUCUCCCCUUGUCACAAGGAUGAGUGCAGGGCAAGGAGACACAGACAGAGAGAGACCACGUUCAUAACUUUGAUUAUGGUUAUGGUCUCAUAAUUGUUCUACUAUAUCCCUAGCUAUUACUGUACCCCAUUUAUAAAUUAAACAUUAACACAGGUGCACACGCAUCGGCAAAACCUAGGGUAUACAGGGUUUGGAUAAACCAUCCAAGGUGUCAGGCAUCCGUUGGGGUUCUUGGAAUGUAUGACCAGCAGAUAAGUGAGGAUUACUGUAUCUCUCCCAAGGAAUUCUUGAUCACGCCUUCUGCUAAAUUGUUUCAACCCAAAAAAUAUUCGUCAGGCACCCACUGAUGUGAGAAUUGGGGUACAAACCGCGUAAGGUGUAGUCCCUGCCUUUAAAAAUCAGUAGCAAUUUCACCAUAUGGAAAUACGGUGGCAAAGCACCAAGGGACAGGGGUCACUUCUCAGCGAUACAUUCAACAGUUCUGAUCUUGCCUUUUCCUGGUCAAGAGUGGAUGCUGGGACGUUGUGCCAGUGUGAUAGAUCACUCGAGUUCGGAAGCAGGGCUAGUGGACUCAUCCAGUCCUGGGGCUCAGAUUCCAAUGCUGGGGUCAGCGCCCAUUGGUUGCUUUCUUGGGGUGUCUUACUUCGGGGUCUAUCAUGGAACGUGGGUUCCACGUUCAAAAGAAUUUGCAGACUCUUUGUAUCCGUGCUUGCAAACAGUACAGUUCUCUUGUGUUUGGGCGGUGUGUGUUUGUUAAAAGCAUUCUGUUUUAAAAUACCAAGUGUUUGAAAUAUGCAUUUUUUUAACCCUAUUUUGACACUUCUUCAUUUUGCAGCUUCCCAGGUCCCCUACAAUGUGGUAGUGGCCUGGGUGUCUCGUGUCCUCUGAAAGGCUGGGCCACACUCAAGCCAUUGCCCCUUUGUGGUCUAAAGGUCACCUUGCCCUGCAGCCCACGUGUUGCAAAUAGUCUGUUCAAGGUCCCAGAGAUACCAAGCUUCCUUUGGUGUCAUAAAUGUGCUUAUUUCACAAUAGGGAGUAAACUGGGGGAAAAAAUUUUUUUUUAAGUACCAAUUUGGUUUAUCUUCAAAACAGGAGGGGUAAGAUAGGGCUGGCUCAUGAUAAAAUUGUGAACUUGGCCAAGGUUGUCUUUGAUUGCCACCCCCUUCCCCCGCCCCCCCCCCCAACUGCCUUUACCCCACCAGCCUACCCCACAGGCUCAAAGGGACCCAGGUCACCAUGGAGCCUCUACUUGGAGCCUGUGCUCAGCCUGGCAGCCUGAGCCCCAUGCUGGUGUUAGGUCUGACCCACCUCUCUCUCUCUCGCCUUAGAAGUUGUCUCUGUCGGAGACACCAGGGCACGUAGGUCUCUGGAAGUCACCGGCUCUGUCAGACAUUUCCUGAGAACUGCAAGGACUUAACUCAAGGGAAAGUGUCGCGUUGGCAAAAUCACCCUUGGGUGAGAAAGUCGGUGAGGGACACCGCGGCACACGGGUACCCACAGGCUCCCUCCCUGUGCACCUGGCCCUGCAUUUGGUUUGAUCUGCAUCACGUCUUGGCUUCUCUAGGUUCCCGAAGGCCAACCGUGGCUGCUCUCCCAAGGCCUUCCUUCCAGGCUAGUGGAGAAACACAGCUCCAGCGAAGAAGUCCGGAAAAAGGCUGAUUGGAUGCAUAAGCCACAGGACAACUUUAGGAACUAGAAAAUAAACAGAACUUAAAACUACGUUUGGUUAAAAUGUCUGCUCAGCACAGCAGUGAGUAAACAUCUCAAGACGAAUGAGUUUCGGCCGUCACCUCAGGGAGCCGCUGCACCACCACGAAGUCCAGAAGACCUGUGCCCUUCAGUUUUGUCCUCCCGGCGACGGGUGCCUGCUAGAUCACAGGUGCAUCACAGGGGGUCCUGCGAGUGUCUGUGAGUCUGCAAGGAGGGUCUGCUUCUCGUGAAGCCAUCUCCCGUCCUGCAACGACCCCUAGGGCAGAAACCCUUGCAGAGGGAGCCCCGGGGCAACUUGUCUGCCAAGGGUCCCGAGGUCCCGACCAGGUGGGCCUGGGUGGGAUCUAGGAUGCUUAGGUGCGGGGUAGUGGCCGGGGAUCCCCAUCCCCACAGCGGAGAGGGGAAGGGGAAUCUUUGGAGCCGCCCCUGCGCGGACGUCCCCACCAACGCCGAUGGCGACCUUCCCCAGACGGAAGGCAGCCUGGAAACCGCGAGAAUGUGGGAGACAGCGCACCUGCCCAGGACACGCGUCUGCGUUUGCGUUCGCGUUCCCCGCAACCCUGGAAGGCCUUGCGUCCCCCGCCCCCCACCUCCCCCAACACCCACCCGGUGCGGGACGGCCGCGCCCGACCCCUCUGCCGAGCCGACCUCGACCCCGCGCACCCGGCUCCGAGCGCCGCGCCGCCCGCCUCUUGCGCCCCGGGACGCGCGCGGCACCCGGUGGCCCGCAGCGCCGGAACUUGGGGGCGCUGUGAGUGGGGGCGGGGCGCCGGGCCGGCGGGCGGGGGCCCCGGCGGGGUGCCCGGUCCUGGCACUGGAAAGUCCUUUCCCGUCUCCUUAAAUCCGGGGCUUCCUUAAACGCGUGGGACCUUGGAGCUCUCCAGGCUACGACAGGUCCAGACCCGGGACGUUGGUGCCUCCUUCCCUCUACCCGGGGAGAGGCCGCGGGCUGGGCGUCGCGGCGGGCGCCCCGCGGCCUCUGUGUGCCGUCUCACGGGCCCCCUCGGGUCCCGCCGCGGAGGGGCGAAGAGCCCCGGAAGGGUGGCGAUGACCGUGCGGCCCGGCACACGCGCGCCGGGGAGGCGCGCCCGGGCCCCCGCGGCCGAGCGCGCGCCGUCCCCCCUCCAGGGCGCCCCGCCGCGGCCUCGGGCCGCGCGCACCCCCCACCCCCCGACGUGACCCCGGCGCCGGCAGCGCCCCCGCCCCGAAGCGGGCGCGGGCUGGCGCCGCCCCCAGCACCGCUCGGUUCGCCACCUGGCCCUUUCCCUUUCCAGGUGGGGGAGAGGCCGGCGCCCGGCCCGUCUCCGCAGAGCCGGCUCCCGGGGUCUCGGGCUGGAGAGACACGUCUCCCGCCCCGGGGCCGGGUGGUGCGCGCAGGAGGAGGACCCAGCAGCGGGCUCUGCCUGGGCUUGCCUGGGCUUGUUCAGAGCCGGGCCGCUUCCCUCCGUGGCCGCGCAGAUCCGGGGGGACCUGGAGAUUUUGCGGGCGCCUUGCAGCCAAGCCCCGGGGAGGAGGGGUCUGGAAGCCCGCGCCGCAGGCUCGCCCGGUCCCACGGGGAGCGCAGGUAAACGCUUGUGUUCUCAGUCCGUUCGAAAGUUCUCAAAGGAGGAGGCAGGAACUUUCCUCCUCAUAAUGGGAACCCUGUUGUUGAAUUGUGUGGCCUCCGAGUCAUAUGGAGAAGAAUUUCCAAGAGGCAACAAAAUGCUCUUUGAUUUCAUAAUCUCUGGAGAGAAAGGAUUCCUUUUCUGGGUUUUGCGCGGCUGGGGUUUUUGUUUGUUUGUUUCCUUCGUCUUCGCUCUCCGCGGUGGGUGCAGAAGGGGGCUCACUGGUCUAGGGGUGGAAAUGGGGACUCUGGUUUUAUUGCCGCCGCUUCGCCCACCUACGAUGGGAGCAAAUCCCUCGGUUUCCUGAAAGUGGGGACGUGGAGACUAGCUCCCCAAGGUGGCUGUGACAAAUCUCAGCAGAUAGGAAAAGUAGUCCUGUGGCCACUACGGUAAAGUGACAUCAGGGGCCCAGUCUGCCAGCCUGCACUUUAAAGAGAGGAACAGGGGACGGGGUUUCAGCCUUCCUGUCCCCAAGGUGGACAUGAGCUCUCCGACCCCCCAGCCCCCAGGGGCCAGAGCGGGGUGGGGUCCGGCCUGGGAGCUUCAGGUCAGGAUGGGGUCCGGAUCCACAAGCUGCAAUGCGGGGGACCCUCCCUCACCCUCCGGUUUUGGUUGAUGUGGUCCGGUAGCACUGACAGGGCUCAUGCUCUGGUGCCUUCACUGUUUCUGGGCCUGGUGGAGCACAGGGAGCCAGGGGACAGCAUGGCUGUGCAGAGAGGCCCGGGGCCGACGCCCUCCUGGUGUGUCCACGCUGGUCUCCUGCAGCGAGGAGUGGCAGUGUUGCCUGGAUUAGUGGAACCCCGCAGUGGAUGCUACGAGCUGCAUCAUGGGACAGAAUGGCUCACGGUAAGUUAUGUGGGGUCAAUGCUGCCUCUGCCCCCAGGCCUGAGAAGAUUCUGGGACAAAUGGCCACUCCCCGGAGCCUUCAUACUCUGCAUGUGCCGCUAGAUGGUCAAAUGGGCCAGAUCAUCCAGUGCGGUGCGGUAAUGGCCGAGACGGGUGGCCGGGCAGGACAGAAGGCCAGUAUUCCCCUUGAGGGUCUGUCCCGGGGCAGGGGGCCGAUGGGGCAGCAUCUGCUGGUACCCCGGGGGCCCAUCUGCUGCCAUGUGGGCUAGUGGCCUGUCUCCUGAGCUUCCCAAGCUUGAGGACUGGCCAGGACUGGCCUGCUCUGCCCUGCCGAGUCCAGCUGUCUGUCCGGCCUCAAGGGUCCCCUGGUUAACAGAUGUGGCAGCCACAGGGACCGCACUUUACUCCCCACCCCGAGUCCUCGGUGCACAUCACAAAUCAGUAAUCCCGAACGUGCGCGGGCCCCCGGGCCCUUGCAUCACCGACUGCUAGGCAGCACUUUGUGUCGAUUAUGUAAGCUGAUUGCCAUCCGGGCCCGGCACCUGCCCUUGUACCUGGGCUCGGAGGUGUAGGAAGACAAAAGUAGGGACCGUGCAGUCCUGGUCGGAGGCUGCCCAAUCUCGGGUCACAGGAGCUCAGACGUAGGUAAUAAGAGAAUACCUGCACGGACUCAUUCGUUCAUUCCUUCAGCAAAUACUUAUUGAGCCUUUGCUCCGCGCCACCGUUAUUUGAGCGUGAGGUAUACAGCGGUGAACCCCAAGGAAAAUCCUCGCUUUUGUGGUGCUUCUCUUCUGCUGGAGGAAUCGGGCGAUCCACAGACACAGUGAACUUUUAAAGCAACGUUAGGUGGAGAUAAACGCCGUGAAGGGCUGGGAGGGUGAAGAGUGGCAGAGAGGCGUUGUUGGUUUUGAUGGGGGAGGGAGGGAUUAAGUCAUUGAGGAGAAACCUGAAGAAAGGCGAGGAGGCUCUGCAGGCAGAAGGGUCCUGCGUUUGGCACACUGGAGAAGUUUACAAGCAAGCCAGUGAGGCCGGAAGGGAGUGGCAGCGGCCGAGGUCAAGCAGGAGCCAGAUCAUCUAGGGCUUUGUGUGUCCUGGGAAACCCAAAGGCUGACGUUGAGCAGCCUUUGGAGAGGUUUGAUCUGUAAGUGUCAUAAUCUUAGGUUUUAUUUCUUUUUUCAAUUUUUUUUAACGUUUUUAUUUAUUUUUGAGACAGGGAGAGACAGAGCAUGAACGGGGGAGGGUCAGAGAGAGGGAGACACAGAAGCGGAAACAGGCUCCAGGCUCUGAGCGGUCAGCCCAGAGCCCGACGCGGGGCUCGAACUCACGGACCGCGAGAUCAUGACCUGAGCCGAAGCCGGCCGCUUAACCGACUGAGCCCCCCAGGCGCCCCAGUCUUAGGUUUUAAAACUAUCACUCUGUCUGCUGGGUAAAGAAAUGUACAGAAUUAAUUAAGGGUGGUCGCGAGGAGACCCACAGGAGGCUGUUCCUGGAGGCUGGCUAGAAACCACAGUGGCUCGGACUGGGCUGUAGCAUGGGGGUAGAGGCGUAGGUUUUGAAGGGAGAACCAACAGGGUCCACUGCUGGAUGGCCCCGGGGGGGGAUAGAACAAAACAUAGAGGAGACAAAGAUGACCCGGGGUCUGCGGCUUGCACAGACCGGUGAAUCAUUUGUUGACACGGGGGACCAGGAUUUUACGGGGAUCUGGAAUUCCGUUUUGGCUGCGAUACAGUUGCCUGUCAGACACCCAAGUGGGGAUGGUAUUGGGCGCUAGAAACUGGAGGUCAGGGCAGGGGCAUCUUUGUGACUCCGGUGGUACCAAAUGCCACAGGAUGGGGGGAGGUUGCCGAGGGAGGGGAUAGUGGAGGUUUAAGCGAAGGUGGGGGCUAGGGGGCUAGUUGUCUCAGAGAGCGGGGACAGAACGGAUAAGGGAAGUGACAGAAGAGUGCCUGGCAAAUGGCAGCUAUUUGCUAAAGAUUGGAUGGACGCGUGCAUAGAAACUCGUGGGACUGCUGUGCAGAGCGGGGCAGAAAGCCCAGCCGGGGAAUGUAAUCCGAUGGUAGGUACUCUGGGGUUUCGGGGGCUCACAGGGCUGGGGAGAGGCCAGGACGGUUUUGUGACAGCAGAAGGGAUUCGAUCUGAGCCCGGGAGAGCCGCCAGGGCUCUGAGACAGUUGGAGGGAAGGGAGAGGAACACCGAAGGGAAUGGCAUUCGCAGGAUUAGGCACGCAAGAGGCAGGUUUAGAAGUCUGUUACAGGAUCAGUGGAGGCUUCUUAGGAAGGGAGGGUUGGUGCAGCCGAAUGGCUGAGGCCCCCCGGGGGCCGGAGCAGGGGUGGGGGGGACAGGAGGAGCAGCCAGAGACGGAGAGAGCCUGCCCCCCACCCUGUCAGACGGGGGUGACAGACUGGGCCCCCUCCUGCUACCCCCGCCCUGUCCCCUCCCCUGCUGCAGCCCAGGUUGUGACAGCUGACAGACAGUAUGUCCUCAGGUCUCUGUGAGGUGGGGAGGGCCCGAGGAUUACGGUCUGUGUUUUUGACAGCUGAAAAGCGAGGCGCAGGGAGGUCGUGGGGCUCCCCUCCUUAGGGUGAUGUGGGCGCAGUCCCGCCCCAAAGCCCUCCAGCACUCCUGGCUGGGUUUGCACUUGUCUGUCGCCUUGUCUGAGAGGAUUGCCCGUCUCUUGUGUUAGGACAGGGAACAGAAACGUCUGUUUAUGUCGGACCUUAAAGAAAAGCGCUCCAACACCUGGAGAAAUGGGCAUCUGUUUUUCUUUCUUUAAUUUUUUAACGUUUAUUUAAUUUUGAGAAAGAGAGAGAGAGAGCGCGUGAGCAGGGAAGGGGCAGAGAGAGAGGGAGACACAGAAUCCGAAGCGGGCUCUAGGCUCCGAGCUGUCAGCU